rnacentral:rRNA from 1 species
ACGGCUCAGUAACACGUGGACAAUCUGCCCUGAAGUGGAGAAUAAUCCCGGGAAACUGGGGGUAAUACUCCAUAGUUCGUUAUUACUGGAAUGUUUUUCGAACGAAAGAUCCGUCGCUUCAGGAUGAGUCUGCGGCCGAUUAGGUAGUUGUUGGGGUAAUUGCCCAACAAGCCUGUAAUCGGUACGGGUUGUGAGAGCAAGAGCCCGGAGAUGGAUUCUGAGACACGAAUCCAGGCCCUACGGGGUGCAGCAGGCGCGAAAACUUUACAAUGCUGGCAACAGCGAUAAGGGAACCUCGAGUGCCAGGUUACAAAUCUGGCUGUCGAGAUGCCUAAAAAGCAUUUCAUAGCAAGGGCCGGGCAAGACCGGUGCCAGCCGCCGCGGUAACACCGGCGGCUCGAGUGGUAACCGUUAUUAUUGGGUCUAAAGGGUCUGUAGCCGGCCGGAUAAGUCUCUUGAGAAAUCUGGCAGCUUAACUGUCAGGCUUUCAGGAGAUACUGUCUGGCUCGAGGCCGGGAGAGGUGAGAGGUACUUCAGGGGUAGGGGUGAAAUCUUGUAAUCCUUGAAGGACCACCAGUGGCGAAGGCGUCUCACCAGAACGGACCUGACGGCAAGGGACGAAAGCUAGGGGCACGAACCGGAUUAGAUACCCGGGUAGUCCUAGCCGUAAACGAUACUCGCUAGGUGUCGGCCACGGUGCGACCGUUGUCGGUGCCGUAGGGAAGCCGUGAAGCGAGCCACCUGGGAAGUACGGCCGCAAGGCUGAAACUUAAAGGAAUUGGCGGGGGAGCAC